AUUGAACGCUGGCGGAAUGCUUUACACAUGCAAGUCGAACGGUAGAGGGGGCAACCCCUCGAGAGUGGCGAACGGGUGAGUAAUAUAUCGGAACGUGCCCAGUCGUGGGGGAUAACGUAGCGAAAGUUACGCUAAUACCGCAUACGAUCUAAGGAUGAAAGCGGGGGAUCGCAAGACCUCGCGCGAUUGGAGCGGCCGAAAUCAGAGUAGGUAGUUGGUGGGGUAAAGGCUCACCAAGCCAACGAUCUGUAGCGGGUAUGAGAGGACGACCAGCCACACUGGAACUGAGACACGGUCCAGACUCCUACGGGAGGCAGCAGUGGGGAAUUUUGGACAAUGGACGCAAGUCUGAUCCAGCCAUUCCGCGUGCAGGAUGAAGGCCCUCGGGUUGUAAACUGCUUUUGUACGGAACGAAAAGGUCUCUCUUAAUACGGGGGACUCAUGACGGUACCGUAAGAAUAAGCACCGGCUAACUACGUGCCAGCAGCCGCCGUAACAC
rnacentral:rRNA from 1 species